rnacentral:rRNA from 1 species
GCGCGCGUCCGGGCGAGCUCCGAACAAAACCCCCUUCGGGCGCGGUGAGCGCCAAGGAACAGAAGCGGAAGGGGCGGCCGUCCCGCCCGGCUCGAGCGCGCCCCGUCUGGGGACGCCGCGUCGCCGUGGUGAUUGGCCGCCCCUUUGUGAGCCAUCUAUGGACGACUCUCGGCAACGGAUAUCUCGGCUCUCGCAUCGAUGAAGAACAUAGCGAAAUGCGAUGCUUGGUGUGAAUUGCAGAAUCCCGUGAACCAUCGAGUCUUUGAACACAAGUUAUGCUCGAGGCCACUGGGCCGAGGGCACACCUACCUCGGCGUCACGCCACCCACCGCCCCCUCCUGUGGCAUUCCCGUGCCCGGCCAGGGACCGGAGACUGGUCGUCCGUGCUCGAACCCUCGGUGCGCGGUCGGCGGAAAAGGAGGACACCAUGCAGCGCGACACGACGUGUGCAGGUCGAGAGGCGAUCCGUCGCCCGAUCGCGCGCCGCGCCCGCAUUCCGCUGCGCGCCAUGUCACCCGCGGGACCAGACCUGCCCGCAGUUGCGGGCGCUCGGACAACGACCCCAGGUCAGGCGUGGCCACCCGCUGAAUUUAAGCAUAUCAAUA